rnacentral:rRNA from 1 species
GCGGGUAUAAAGCACCGCCAAGUCCUUUGAGUUUUAAGCUCUGGCUUGUAGUUCUCUGGCGAAUAAUUUUGUUUUAAAAUCACCUAGGUUUAGGGCUAA